rnacentral:rRNA from 1 species
GACGAACGCUGGCGGCGUGCUUAACACAUGCAAGUCGAACGGAAAGGCCCUGCUUUUGUGGGGUGCUCGAGUGGCGAACGGGUGAGUAACACGUGAGUAACCUGCCCUUGACUUUGGGAUAACUUCAGGAAACUGGGGCUAAUACCGGAUAGGAGCUCCUGCUGCAUGGUGGGGGUUGGAAAGUUUCGGCGGUUUGGGAUGUACUCGCGGCUUAUCAGCUUGUUGGUGGGGUAGUGGCUUACCAAGGCUUUGACGGGUAGCCGGCCUGGGAGGGUGACCGGCCACAUUGGGCUUGAGAUAGGGCCCAGACGCCUACGGGCGGCAGCAGUGGGGAACAUUGCGCAAUGGGCGGAAGCCGGAUGCAGCAACGCCGCGUGCGGGAUGACGGCCUUCGGGUGGUAAACAGCUUUCGCCUGUGACGAAGCGUGAGUGCCGGUACUGGGUAAAGAAGCACCGGCUACCUACGU